CCGGGCCAACACUUUGGAUUAAAGCGUAUUUUAUUUCGAUAAAUACUAUUUGAUAGCGUAAGAGUACCAUGGUAACUCUUGUUUAAAAAGUAUUGCUGAUUAAAAAGUAUUGCUCUGUGAUAAAGACAAAAAUCACUUGUAAGAUUAGUUAACAUUUCCUAAGCAGGAGCAAUUGCAAUACGUAAGAAGUUCUGUGUUUUACUAUUGGAGAGAUAAAACUAACAUCUGAUGCUUUUGCCACAUAAGUCUUGACGAGCAGUGUAUACUUACUAAUGGGUUGAAAGUUAUUGAUCUACAUUGCAAUAGAAUACAAUUCUAGAAAUUAAGAGGUCAAUAUACUUGUGCUUAUAGUCAUUCAACAACAAAGAUAACUUGGUGUUGCACUCGUUUAGCUUUUUUUGGUGCAACUAUGCAUUCCAAAUGUAAGUAUUUCUUACAAAGGCAUAAAAGAGUAUCUGUAGUGCAUAAAGCAAACAAUAAUAAUAGAAAAUCUAUAAAUACUGCAAAACAGCAGAAUAACCAUACUAUUAACUUUUGUUCUGUUUCAAUGGUAUGUAAAGAAAACUUGCCAAGUUGGUACCUUAUAGUUGUAACAACAAGUUCUUUUCAUUAGCCAAACCAAUUCCAUUCCAUGUCUUGAAAAAUUGAAAUCGUAUAUCGGAUAAACGAUUCAAUUGCAUUAUUGAUCCUGCUAUUAGCACAAACAUAGGCAGCUAUUACGCAUCCAUCAUAUACAUCUUUGGAGCCGUCAGCUCAAGUUGUAGUACAAUCUGCAUAUGCUCUUUCUUUUACGGUUAGAAUCAUGAGUAGUUCCUAAGCGAACUAUCUAUUCUAUUAUGGCCGACUUGGAGACAUCAGAGGAAGACCAUCAUCUCUAUCCAGGUACGUAGUUUCAUUCAUUCGUUGAACCUUGGGGGUCACCAUUAGCAUUGAGAGCGUUCAAAGAGUUGUAAAGAGAGAAUCAAAGCACUCAUAAGUAGACCUAUCUUCGAUAAAAAAAAACAUGUAAGCUACAUACAUGUCAUCACGAGAUAAAUUACUUGCUGAAAAGAAUAUACGAUAUCACAUGCUUGAGUAGCAUUAUUUACAUUUAAGAAACCACCCAUAAUAUAUAGCGACAAAAAACAGAAUUAAUCAGCUAGGAAAGAAGUUAUUUAAUUGGAUAUAUUAAAGAAAAGUGCAACCCAUGUUCUCCAGCUCAAGAGAAAGGUUUUAAAGUAAUCAUUGCAAUUCAUCUAAAUUUAAAUAUCUACAUUAUAUGCAAUGCAACAUAUGUUUCAUUUAUACUUGAAGCAGCGGUGCCCGAAUGCUGCUACUACAACAAAUCUAUCUUUUUUCAGGUGUAAGAAACAAAUUUUGUUAUUUGUUUCUCUUACCAAGUAACUGCAAUAGAAUCUAUGUAACCACAAGCAGAUUUCGAAUAUUGUUUGUAUAACAAGAAAAUAAGAUAGGGUAGUAGAACUCGAUGAAGUAAAACAGUGGCUACCAAAGAAAAGCUAUUGAACGACAGAUUCCCCGAUAGUAGUCAUCCAAGUCAAUCAUGAAUUCAUUUGGCAACAUUUAGCAUAAGUAACCUGAUAUUCACAGGGUGCUCCCACUUUGCAAUCUUAGUAGGGAGCAUUAAACAUAUUAGUGCAAAAGUCUUGGUCACAACUAACGGUUUUCCCAGUUGCUGAGGCUUUCAAUUCAUACAACGUUAAGUCUGUGUGUGGUAUAACAACAUAUAUGAGAAACUACUUGGAUGGACCAAGAAGAGAAAGUCAACAAAUUGAAUAUCUAUUCUCUUUGAGCAGGGAAGAUGUCACUUCCAGUCAAAAUUCACGGAGGCAGUAAUGGAGAAAGCCUCACCAGCGGCAUAUUGGCAAAACGAGAAUAGCUGGACUGAAAUUGAGGAAUAAAGCAGAAAAUAGUGAGGCCUGGGGGAAGAGACAACAGAAAGGUUACGCGGAAAAAGUUCAAAAAUUCUGUGCGUUGUUAUCUCAUAGACAGCAUGGUCAACCAACUUUAGCUACGUGUUGUUGUACGGAAGCACAGGGAAAUUUCUCAUAGCACAAAAGGCAAAUGAAAAUACCUAACUGCCUUCAUGUCGGCAAGCAGAUAAGUCCAGAGACGGAGCCAGAAUUUAAAGUUUAUGGGUUCAAAAUUCUUGACUGUUUAAGUUAGUGGAUUCUAUAUUAGUAAUUUAUAGAUAUUCAAUAAAUCUCUUAAAACAAAUAUAGGGUUUGAACAAAAGCUACUGAGUUCGGCUGAACCCGAAGCUCGUGCUCUAGCUCCGCCCCCGGAGAUGACAACGGUCUCCUGCUUGCUCAAGGGCUCUUCUAUAUAGUUAGAAUAAAGAGCAAUUCCAAUUUGCAAUGGCAAACUGAUGCAUUUUAUGAUUAAUAGAUCCUUAGCUUUCUCUAUCUUGACUAAAUUAGGGAACAACAGAAUACCAAGACGAUUUUAUGUUACUAUACUAUAACAAUGUUCAAACAAAAAUAAUGAUAAAGACUACAAAUGAAAGUGCCGAAGCAGGUCUUACAAUGAGAAUGUGUUUAACUUUGGGCCUAUUACUACAAGAAUUAUAAUCCUCUUUCUGGAUUAUUGAGGACGAAGCAGAUAAAAUUCCAAAUUUUAUCAAUUUCUCAAAUUCCCAAACCCUAGCACCAUCCACCAAUUUUUUUCCAAAAAGAAAUCCUAAUCGUACAAUACAUUACACAAAGACCAGCCCUUUCACACAGAAAAAUACAACACAUUACACAACUGAGAAAUCCCAUGAUACAGAGAAAUUAAGAGAGAUGUGAUCGAAUAGUAGAAAGGGUAACUAAUUGAGGAAAACUUAUAUUACCAAUUCUGGUACAACUCUUCUGAGUGAAACCCCUUGAUGCACAGAUUUGAGAGAAAGAAGAACAUUUACCCCUUGUUGCAGAAGAAGAGCAGGGGAAAAGUCCACGUGCUCUGCUAUUAAUACACUGACUCAGCAGAAGAGGCAAAGCCUACAACUUUUAGAGCUAUUUUACCUAUAUAAGUGGCUCUUUAAAUUGCCUGAGAAGCUGUCUUUAUUUACUAAAUUCUCUUGUGGCAUUCAACGUAAUAAUAUAGAAAAAUAGUGGCAAAAUUUUCUAGCCUAAGCAGUCAUGUUGAUGACGCUGACUCCUGAUGGAGCUCAACUGCCACUUCUAUAAUAAGAGAAAAAUUCUCUUGUGGCAUUCAACUUAAUAAUAUAGAAAAAUAGUGGCAAAAUUCUCUAGCCUAAGCAGGCAUGUUG
rnacentral:lncRNA from 1 species